GGGUGGGCUGGACAGGCUGAAGGCAGCAUGGUGAUGCUGUGGGUGGGCUGGACAGGCUGAAGGCAGUGUGGUGGUGAUGCUGUGUGUGCUCUGGACAGGCAGAAGGCAGUGUGGUGAUGAUGCUGUGUGUGCUCUGGACAGGCAGAAGGCAGUGUGGUGGUGAUGCUGUGUGUGCUCUGGACAGGCAGAAGGCAGUGUGGUGAUGCUGUGUGUGCUCUGGACAGGCUGAAGGCAGUGUGGUGAUGCUGUGGGUGCUCUGGACAGGCUGAAGGCAGUGUGGUGAUGCUGUGUGUGCUCUGGACAGGCUGAAGGCAGUGUGGUGAUGCUGUGGGUGCUCUGGACAGGCUGAAGGCAGUGUGGUGAUGCUGUGGGUGGGUUGGACAGGUGGAAGGCAGUGUGAUGAUGCUAUGGGUGGGCUGGACAGACAGAAGGCAGUGUGGUGAUGCUGGACUGGACGGUCACUGCUGCCAUCUCCGAGGAAGAGGACACUGAAGCUCAAGUAAGGGAUUUGUGCUGUGGCAUUCGUUCCUGCUCGCCCUACAGCCUUGCCCUACAGCAUUGCCCUACAGCCUUGCCCAGC
rnacentral:lncRNA from 1 species